GCACCCCACCAGCAGCCAUGCAUGCAGCGGUCUGCACUCCUGGGGGGGGGACAGAGAGGGCAAGGGAAGGUGGGGACCACCCGGCUCAGCAGCAGUGAGUCAUUUGCUGAGCUCUCCUCCUGACCGCUGGGCAGUUAUUAUCGAUGCCACACAGCUGUAAAUGUUCUCUCUGCAGCUGGGACCUGGGAGCAGAGAGUGCGGCUCAGCUGAGUGUGUUAUUGGAUUAGCAGCUGAUUAGAGCUGUUAAGAGUCCACUCUUGAAUAAUCAACAUGGUGCUUUUUGGCUGCUGUGUAGCAGUGGGAGGAGGAAGGAGGCAGAGCAGCUUGGCUGACUGCUGUUGAAUCACAGCUGAGCCCUGGCCCUGCAGCUAUGGAUUCUCUUGCUGGAAGAGUUAAAACCUGGAGUAUCUCAACCAUGUGGGAAGACCGGAUGGUGUGUGGUGAGCUUGGUCCAUCGUGAGCCAGGGCAUAGUUCUCUGCUUUCCACUGAUAUCAAUGGCACGGCAACUGUGAGUGUGGGGAGAACUUGGUAUUACACGGAAUAAUGAUUCACAAGUGUGAUCACAUGUGCCCUGAUAUCCAAGGGCACUGAGUGAUUAGGGCUAAGGAGAUCUCUUGCUUACGCUUUCACUCCUUGUGUCUGAGAUCAGCAUUCUCCUUGCAAAGACCUCUAGGGGUCACAGUUGGAUUGUACAACAGGUUGUGAUCCCAUCCUUGGGAUAGGAAAUCAGAGCACACGCCACCCACCUCCUGCCAAACCAGCGGCUGGAAAGCCAGCAGGAUGCCAAGUGCCCACUGCCCAUGGGUCACUGCCUCCAACCCCACUCAGGAGUGGGUUCCAGCCCCUCCUCUGCCUCUUUCUGCCACCGAGAUCCAGAUGAUUCUCUGAGGAUUUAGUUCAUAACUUCAACACAGUGAAUCCAAAUGUGUUCUAGGCUGGAAAAGCCAGUUUCAAGUUUGUGCACAGAAGGGUAUGAGGAACAGUGCCAUAAAGAAGAAGGAGGAAGAGAAGAAAUUAGAAAAUGUGAGUUAUACAUACACAGUGCAAUCAAGGGAAGGGACAGAGACCUGUCACAAAAGGUUCACGCUGAAGAUUUCCAUCUCUGCGCAACAGAAAGUCUUCAGAUGAGCCCAAUCCAUUUCUGUCAUGAGGAGCAGCCUAGAAACAGCAUCACCUGUCUUCAUUUUGUGAGGGCCCUGCAGAUGCUUACCCACAGGAACACCCCAGUCACUGCCAGAGGUCCCUCCCCGUUCCAGCACUGCACUGCAAAGCAGGAUCUGGCCAUGAUGCUCAGCAAGAUGGAGCCCUUCCAUUAUGAGAUAAUUAAAUUGCCUGUAAUUAUGUUCUUGACAGUGAAAUAAAGGUGGUAAAUGAUCGUAAUGUUCUUCGCUUCCUUCUUCCUCCCAGGACCCCCCCAGCUGCCCCUCCCCUCUAAAUGCUGAAUUAUUUUACAGUUGAUAGUUCCUUAGAAUCGCCGACCUUUAAAAGCUGAACACUACAUGCCUGUUGAAUUUUAAUCAAUUUAUUUUUUUCAACUGGAAAUGUCAGACUUCUGUACGGAAUUACUUGGUGCCGGCUGAUGUGACAAAGACUCAAAGUUCAGCAUCUGAAGCCACGGAGGAGCAGAGAGUUGCGUGCAUUAGCACAGAUAAUUUGCAGGAUGUGAAAAUGAGAGCGGGAGUGAGGGAGCAUAUAUUUUUCAUUAGCUUUGGUUUAGAAGGUGCGAGGACCUGCAUUUAUUUCAUCCAGUGAACUCUGGCCUCAUUAAAUCCAGACCGUGGCCAGUAAUGACUGGAAGUAAGAAGCUGUGGAGGCCACCAAAGGGCAGGAAGUAAAGUGAGUUCUUCACGGGGUGAAACAUGGUGUACGUGUUGACAGGGGCAGUGCACAACCUCUGCUGUGCCCACCCCGCGGUGCCAAGCACUGCACAGUGGGUGCUGGUUGCCCAAACCAUCUGCCAGCCCACGCUGGCACAGUUCCUUAAUGCACACGGUAUCACCCAUUUUAGUCCAGAAGACCCGAAGAGCUCAGCAAACAUUUCAACUCCAGCAGAGCCUGUCUCUGUCCAAGCAAGAUGAAUAACUUUUCAGUAGCGUUGAGUUUGGCUGCCACUGUCUUGAAGGAUUAAGAAUUCCCCAACCGGAGUGAAGCCCAUGGGUAAAGAGAGGAAGAUGUUAACGUGGAAACAUUCCUGCAGGCUGGUUCCUGCUGCCAGAGAAGCCCAUGGCACUGAGAAUAGACCAAUGAGGAGCCCUCGAGUCCUUACUGGGAUUUGCUGGCCUUCACUGUAACUUCAGCAUCGCGUUUGUGAGCCAGGGUAAUGAGGGGAGCUGCUCUGCUUUCUUUCCAAGCAGGGAAUUUCUCUGAUGUCAUCAGAGGGCACAUUCAUCCUUCCCUGCAUCACCUACUUCCCUACCAUCAGUCAUUUCAGGAAUAAGUUAUCACCUCAUUUUCUUCUACCAGCAGCCUCUAGUGUUCCCCUGCAGUGCGGUAAUCUGUUCCAAUCCUGGACCAUGACACCUUACAAACAACUUUUUGUCCCAUUAAAAUUUAAUUCCUUCUUUGGAAUAGAGACUUCUCAUCACACAGAACCGGAUGGAUAAAUGUUUGCUAAGGUGACAAGGACUGAGUAUAUUUAAUCUUCCUUCCUUCUCUCUAAAAAACUGGGCCCGUCGUUGCCUCCUGGCACAGGUCCAUUAAAAUCAAUAAUGAACCUUACAAGUGGAUCUGGGCUAAAAUACGUCCUAUGCUUCUCCACUGAACUAUAAUAAGCACGUACCUAUGUGCAGCAAGAAUAAUGUGGGGAUUGUGUGUAGGUUCAAGGAAAGUCCCAGUGCUUUGGUCUUUCCUGGAGUGGAGGUGCACCUCAAAUCCAAGUAUUCUUCCAGUGUCCACUUUUGGACACUUGCCAAUGGAAAGGGUCAUUCUUUGUGCAUUGAUUCUAAACCCUCUCUAAAGCUUUGCAGUCUGCUGUCCAAGACUGAGUUCAAGGAACCUUUGGCACAGCACCAUAGACCACUUAUUAUGCCCUCAUUUCUCUGAAAUGGGUUUUAAUUGCAAAAUUAAAACCAUGGGCUGACAGCAGUUCUUUCUGGGGGAAAUGAGCCAGGUGAGAUGGGCUCCCAACUCCCAACUGGAGAAGCCCAACAGGGAGAUGCAGAAUUGAGUCACCAUGAUGGGGUGCACAGGACUGCCACCAAGAGAGUGUGGGCUCUGCGACAUAGACCAGCCAUGGUCUGAAGCAGGCUGAGGCAAAGAACUGAACCUGUUUGACAAGCCUCAGGUGGCCGUGCUAGUUAUUAAGAAACGUGUUUCCUGUACUAUGAACAUUCAGAUACUUCAUGGUUUUUCCAUUCAGAAGGAUGGAAAAUUCCUUUGAUUCCUUCGGAGUUCUAAGUUUUGCAAGCAGGGGAAUCAUUCCUGCUGCGUAGCUUUAUUUUUUUUUUUUCCAGUUUGGAAAUCCAGCUUCUCAAAGCCUCCCGUGCCAUCAGCCCAAGGAGAAGACAGUGAGCGUACGGAAGGCAGCCCAGCCCACACGUACUAACUCCUCAUCAGUAUUCCCUUUAAAGAAGGCAAAUGUUAUUAUCCUCUUUGCCAAGAGGGAGUGUGAACACAUCUGCUGCUCCACCCACCUUCUUGGCACACCCCCCCCCCAGCGCAAACUCCCACGGCUCACCCUCUGUCUCAGCUCAACAGCCCAUUACAAAUGGCUGUGUUUAAGCAAGGUCUUGCUCUUCAUUUAUAGCCCUCUCAGUCACUCGAUGGGUUGCUUCCCUGCCCUUUGCAGCCUCCGUUUGUAUCAGGUUAAGAAAAUGUCAAGCUCAUUUGGAAGUUCCUCACCCUUCCUUGCUUUGCUGCAGCCAUUAGUGGUCCUCUCCUUGCUGCUGGAAGCUGACAUUUACAUCAUGGGCUGGGGCGGAAAUAAUAGUAAUAAAGCCAAGCUUUGCUAAUCA
ensembl:lncRNA